rnacentral:rRNA from 1 species
UUUAUGGAGAGUUUGAUCCUGGCUCAGGAUGAACGCUGGCGGCGUGCCUAAUACAUGCAAGUCGAGCGAACAGAUAAGGAGCUUGCUCCUUUGACGUUAGCGGCGGACGGGUGAGUAACACGUGGGUAACCUACCUAUAAGACUGGAAUAACUCCGGGAAACCGGGGCUAAUGCCGGAUAACAUGUUGAACCGCAUGGUUCUACAGUGAAAGACGGUCUUGCUGUCACUUAUAGAUGGACCCGCGCCGUAUUA